UUAUCUACUUUUAAUGGGCUUUCGAAGUUGAAGUUUCCUGGGAAGAUGAACAUCUGCAUUAAACGUGUGGGAAAAUGGGAAAGGGGUGGCACCCAUUUGCUAGCCUUCCGUGGUAUUUUACACCUUCCUUUUGCUUUGUUCAUUUUUUUCAAUUCAUAGCCUCUUGUUUUAAUUUGAAGUCUUAACUCUGUGCACUCAGUUCUCAAUCUAAAUUGAUGGAGGAGAAGAAUAGGCAAUUCAAAAAUUAAUCCAGAAUUAGUGUGAUUGUUUUUAUUUUUUAAUUGCGAAAGAGUGAACAGAAACUAUCCUAGCUGUGUUUCACUUGGAUCAGUAUUUAUAGUUAUAAUUCACUGAGUUCCUACAGCUCGUGGGCAUAGUGCUGAUCAGUACAGGAGAAAUUGAGCAGCACUGACUGAGGUGGAACCUUGGGGGAAGUGGUUAGGAGCAGAGAUUCGGGAAUGAGAAUGUCUGGGUCCCGGGCCUACCUCUGCCUUAAUAAGGAUUCUGCACCAUACAGGCAUAGCUUAGAGAUAUUGAAGGUUUGAUUCCAGACCACCACAGUAAAGUGAAUUUUGUAGUAAAGCGAGUCACAUGAAUUUUUUAGUUCCCCAGUGCAUAUAAAAGUUGUGUUUACACUAUAAUGUAGUUAUUAAGUGUGCAAUAACAUUAUGUCUAAGAAAAACAAUGUAUAUACCUUAAUUUAAAAAUACUUUAUUCCUAAAAGAUACUAACCAUCAUCUGAGCCUUCAAUGAGUCAUAAUCUUUUUCCUGGUAUAGGGUCUUGCCUUCAGUUAGUAAAAAAAACAGUGUCUACAAAAAAAAAAAAAAAAGGUACAUCUGUAAUUUCUUCAUCUGUAAAAUGAGGAAAAUGAUAGUUCUUACCUCACAAAGUUAUAAGUAUUAGGUGCCAUUUCUAAAGUCUUUAAAAUGGAGCCUGACUCAUAAUAAACCUAAUAUUUAUGUUUAUUAAAUAAAGUGUUCUAGGUAUUAAAGGAAAUCUUUUUUAAUUAUAAAUUUUCUCCACAGUCAAUUGAGAGCCAGCUAUAUACUAAAUGCUAAAAUUCCUAGGUAGUCUUGUGGAAUCUGAAAUCGUUUCAUGUAGGUAAACCCUUUUCUUAUUUUUUGCAAAUUGUAUUUCCUUAUAAUCUCUGAUAAUUUCCCAUGUUAUGUAUGCUGAAUCCUCAUUAGCAUCGUACUAUUCAAAUACAUACUUUUUUUUGUAUCUACUAACAUAGGUAUAGGGGACACUCACACGUCCAUAAGCAAAACAAAUGAGAAAUUCCACUUAAUACAAUGGAUAAUACCAGAA